rnacentral:rRNA from 1 species
GGGACACGUGGUAUCCUGUCUGAAUAUGGGGGGACCAUCCUCCAAGGCUAAAUACUCCUGACUGACCGAUAGUGAACCAGUACCGUGAGGGAAAGGCGAAAAGAACCCCGGCGAGGGGAGUGAAAAAGAACCUGAAACCGUGUACGUACAAGCAGUGGGAGCACGCUUAGGCGUGUGACUGCGUACCUUUUGUAUAAUGGGUCAGCGACUUAUAUUCUGUAGCAAGGUUAACCGAAUAGGGGAGCCGAAGGGAAACCGAGUCUUAACUGGGCGUUAAGUUGCAGGGUAUAGACCCGAAACCCGGUGAUCUAGCCAUGGGCAGGUUGAAGGUUGGGUAACACUAACUGGAGGACCGAACCGACUAAUGUUGAAAAAUUAGCGGAUGACUUGUGGCUGGGGGUGAAAGGCCAAUCAAACCGGGAGAUAGCUGGUUCUCCCCGAAAGCUAUUUAGGUAGCGCCUCGUGAAUUCAUCUCCGGGGGUAGAGCACUGUUUCGGCAAGGGGGUCAUCCCGACUUACCAACCCGAUGCAAACUGCGAAUACCGGAGAAUGUUAUCACGGGAGACACACGGCGGGUGCUAACGUCCGUCGUGAAGAGGGAAACAACCCAGACCGCCAGCUAAGGUCCCAAAGUCAUGGUUAAGUGGGAAACGAUGUGGGAAGGCCCAGACAGCCAGGAUGUUGGCUUAGAAGCAGCCAUCAUUUAAAGAAAGCGUAAUAGCUCACUGGUCGAGUCGGCCUGCGCGGAAGAUGUAACGGGGCUAAACCAUGCACCGAAGCUGCGGCAGCGACACUA